AAUGGGGUCAACCCUGAUCCAGCCAUGCCGCGUGAGUGAAGAAGGCCUUCGGGUUGUAAAGCUCUUUCGGCCGGGAAGAAAUCGCAUGGGUGAAUACCCUGUGUGGAUGACGGUACCGGAACAAGAAGCACCGGCUAACUACGUGCCAGCAGCCGCGGUAAUACGUAGGGUGCGAGCGUUAAUCGGAAUUACUGGGCGUAAAGGGUGCGCAGGCGGUUAUGUAAGUCAGAUGUGAAAUCCCCGGGCUUAACCUGGGAACUGCGUUUGAAACUACAGGACUAGAGUGUGGCAGAGGGGGGUGGAACUCCGUGUGUAGCAGUGAAAUGCGUAGAGAUAUGGAAAAACAUCGAUGGCGAAGGCAGCCCCCUGGGUUAACACUGACGCUCAUGCACGAAAGCGUGGGGAGCAAA
rnacentral:rRNA from 1 species